AGCUUUGCACAGUGGCAGUAUCAUAGCCAAUGAGGUUUAUCUGAGGCAUGAUUACUGCUAAUUGAAAACUUUUCCCAAUAUCUUGCCAGGAUGAUUUAAAAUAUAGUCAGCAUUGGCAAUUUUUGAAAAAAAGAAAUUA
ensembl:snRNA U4 U4 spliceosomal RNA